AGAGUUUGAUCAUGGCUCAGAACGUACGCUGGCGGCACGCCUAAUACAUGCAAGUCGAACGCAGUAGCAAUACUGAGUGGCAGACGGGUGAGUAUAAUGUGGGAAUAUGCCUUUUGGUUUGGAAUAACUUGGGGAAACUUGAGCUAAUACCGAAUAAGCCCUUACGGGGAAAGAUUUAUCGCCGAAAGAUUAGCCCGCACUUGAUUAGCUUGUUGGUGAGGUAAAAGCUCACCAAGGCAACGAUCAAUAGCUGUUCUUAGAGGAAGACCAGCCACAUUGGGACUGAGACACGGCCCAGACUCCUACGGGAGGCAGCAGUAGGGAAUCUUGCACAAUGGAGGAAACUCUGAUGCAGCGAUGCCGCGUGAGUGAAGAAGGCCUUUGGGUUGUAAAACUCUUUCGUCGGGGAAGAAAAUGACUGUACCCGAAUAAGAAGGUCCGGCUAACUUCGUGCCAGCAGCCGCGGUAAUACGAAGGGAUCUAGCGUAGUUCGGAAUUACUGGGCUUAAAGAGCUCGUAGGUGGUUAGAAAAGUUGGUGGUGAAAUCCCAAGGCUCAACCUUGGAACUGCCAUCAAAACUUUUUAGCUAGAGUGUGAUAGAGGAAAGUGGAAUUUCUAGUGUAGAGGUGAAAUUCGUAGAUAUUAGAAAGAACACCAAAAGCGAAGGCAACUUUCUGGAUCACUACUGACACUGAGGAGCGAAAGCAUGGGUAGCGAAGAGGAUUAGAUACCCUCGUAGUCCAUGCUGUAAACGAUGUGUGCUAGACGUUGGAAAUUUAUUUUUCAGUGUCGCAGCAAAAGCGUUAAGCACACCGCCUGGGGAGUACGACCGCAAGGUUAAAACUCAAAUGAAUUGACGGGGACCCGCACAAGCAGUGGAGCAU
rnacentral:rRNA from 1 species